UCAGGUUCCAAAAUCCUCCAAUUCAGGCUCGUAGUCUGGUAUUAUCCUAUCUUCUUUAAAUUUUAGGAGAGAAAUGGAUUGUCCGAAUCUGGAUAUUCAUGCUCGGAUUGUGAGUCUUCAAAUGAUUCCUCCACUGAUAUCAGUCGUUCGGAUUAAACUUUGAAAUUGGUAUUAUUAUCGUCACUGCUCCAAUUUUUUAUCGUUAUGCAUCUAAACCAAAAUUCCUUGCUUGGAGUUGUAAGACAAGUUAAGGAUCGAAAGAUAUAGGCCUAU